AUAGUUAAAUAAGACACAAAAUGACACCAGAGCUGUAGUGGUUUGCAAUCUUUUUCUUUUUUAAUUACCUUUUUCAUAAUUAAGUGAGACUCUUUGACAUAUGAUUCUUAUGUAGGGUGUAGCGUGAUAGUAGCCCAUUCUAAACAUAUUUCCACUAAAACUUCUAAUCAGCUGGCACCAUCCUGCAUUCUUAUUGCAAUUGCUAUAACAUAUGAUCAUGAUUUUGAAAUUGUGAAUCCUAGAAAUAAAAGGGAUUGAACAGUGACUUAACUACUCAUGUCUACUCCUUCUUCGGGGUCAGAAAGUGUUACCGGAUCUCGAAAGUCUAUUGGCAAGCUCUAUAACCUCCAAACAUUGAAAUUACCGGAUCUUGAAAAGUGUCCAAAGGAGAUUCAAAAUUUGAUCAACUUGAGGCAUUUUCAUUUCGGUGAGGGGAUGAAAUUUGAGGCUGAGAUUUUGGGGCGAUUAACUAGUCUCCGAACACUGCCUUCCUUUAAUGUGGGUAAGGAGUGAGGUCCUGCAAUUAAGUAGUUGGGUGGGUUGAACCAAUUGAGAGGCCACUUAAUUAUUGAUGGGCUAGAACAUGUAAGGGAUGGAGAAGAAGCAAAGAAAGCUCGCUUAGUGCAGAAGAAUCACUUACGUGAGCUAACAUUAAAGUGGACAGACGAUGGCUUGGCGGAUGUACUUGAUGAUAUGGUUCAUUAGGUAGUCAUAGUUCAUUUCUACCUAAUGAAAAUCAGACGGAUGUACUAGAUGGCUUGGAACCUCAUGGUAACUUGCAAAGCUUGAAGAUUGAAAAUUUUAUGGGUGAGAGAUUUCCGUCAUGGAUAACGAGUCUCCAAAAUUUGAAGCAGAUUUGAUUACUCAGUUGUUGCAGUCGUGAAGGAGUCCCAACACUCGGGCAUCUACCUAAUCUAAGAUCUCUUGAGAUUAAGAGGAUGAAAAAGCUGAUGAAAUGUGUGGGAGCUGAGUUUUAUGGUACUAGUACAACUUUGUUUCCAGCACUGAAAACAUUAUACAUCCUUGGGUGCCAAGAGCUCAUUGAAUGGAUGGAAGCACCGAGGAUAUCAGGAGAAGUAGUGGUAUUUCCUUGCCUCGAAGAGUUGGAACUCAGGUACUGUCCCAAAUUGAGAAAUGCUCCAAGUCGUUUUCCACGUCUCAAGAGGUCGUGGAUAGACGAAAUGGACAACAACAUCUCAAUAGAAAAUAUAAGCACUCAGCUUACCAGUCUCACCAAUCUCUAUAUAGAUCAUGUAAAGGGACUAACUUGUCUACCAGAAGGGAUGCUGAACAAUAACAAGAGUCUCACAUAUUUGCAGAUAGUUAAUUGUGAUGGGUUGACUUGUAUUGCUCUCGAUGUAUCUGACACGCUCCCUUGUCUUGAGAAGUUGAAAAUAACUCGUUGUCACAGCGUAGAGUCAAUUAGGAUCGCACAGGGCAUUGCAUCACUCCGUGAAUUACAACAUCUGGAGGUGUACGGGAUUAUCAAGCCUAGAGGUUGGGCUCGAUUACUGCACCUCUCUUCAGGCGUUGCAUAUAUAUUAUUGCCCUAAUCUGAAGAUAGUUCCAAUCACACAGGGCACGCCGUCUCUCCGGAUAUUGAGGAUUCAAGGAUGUGAGGGAUUAUCAAGCCUAGGAAGUGGGAUCAACUACUACACCUCUCUUCAGGAAUUGCAGCUACGCUAUUGUCAUAAUCUAACAUCAAUUCCAAUCACACAGGGCAUCACAUCUCUCCAGAGGUUGAGGAUUAUUCGUUGUCAGAGAUUAUUAAGCCUACCCGGUGGGAUCCAAUUCUGCACCUCUCUUCGGCAUCUGCAUAUAACUGGUUGCUCUAGUCUAGUAUCCAUGUCAGUAUCAUAUGUGUGUGACCACCCAGAGACUCAACGAAUCAACCGAAGGAAGUCUCUAUAGGUGUUGUUGAGUAUUUGUCUACACAGGAGGAGGAUUGGCGUAGUCUCGAAUCUAUUCCACCUAAUCUCCGUCAGUUGUUGAUGACAUCAUUGUGGGAAAUUCAAAUAUAUGCCCACAGGAUUUCACUGCCACACUCAUUUGAAGAUGCUGCAAAUUGGUUGGUUCUGGGAGCAGCUGGAUGCCUUGCCUGAUUUUCAGCUUCCACCACCACCACAUGAUUUACAACUUGAACGCUUAGAGUUGGUGGGGUGGCCUAAGCUAAAGUCUCUGCCCCAGCAAAUUCAGCACUCUACUUUUUUAAAAACUCUCUGGAUAGGAAAGUUUAUAGGACUAGAGGCUCUUCCUGAAUGGUAGGGAAAUCUUACAUCUCUUGAGACUACAUAUCUGGCUUUGAGAGAAUCUCAAGUAUCUACCUACACUGAAUGCUAUGAAAAGCCUCACCAAAUUAGAGAAGCUCUACAUUGAGGGAUGUCCCCUGCUCAAGGAAAGAUGCACCAAGGAGACUGGCCCAAGAUUUCUCACAUCCCAGAACAUGACUUGUGGUGAAGCUACGUAAUGGCCUGCCAUACUAAACUAGAAUGCCUGGUCACAUUUCAAGAGGAAAAUGUAUUAUCAAUUGAUUUCAUUCAAGUUACGAGGUUAAUCAAUUCCCAAUUGCCAGAGAUUUAUCCCUAAAGCGGGGUUCUAUCAUACUUAAUGGGAAGAUCAGAUGAAGCUGAGUGGUUGAAGAUCCAGUCACAGUAGUUCAAUCACCUCUCCCAUGUGUUUUUUUUUAGGGUUUUCUCUUAGCAAGUCACUUCUCUCUAAUGGAGUUGUCCAGUCCACUCUUGCCUCCCUAAAUAAUUUUUUCCAUAAGAACCAGCUAUGAGAAUGAGAAGUAUCAACCUAAAUUGGCAGCUAUGCAAACAAACAUGCACUGAGGACAACCAACAACAGUGGCUGACUUCUUAUUUUCCAAAGGCCUCUCUAUCCUACUCAAAUGGAAGAACAGCUUAACUAGACCUGGUGCAAACUAAGUUCAGAUUGUCCCAAAGAUCAAGAAAUUGGAGCACCGAAAGCGAUCUCAGGUGGCUGCUGUUUUGUUUGGCUCUUGCAAAGGCUUGUAACUUUGCCCUAUAUUGAGAACAAACUCCAUCUGCAUCUUGGAUAAGCCAUUUAGUCAAGCAUGCAUGGUUUCUAGAACACUGCAAGUGAAUGGUCAGAAAAACAAAAAAAGUGGGAUCUCGGAAUUGCCUGGAGCAUAGGAUAGCAAAAUGUCAGUUUUGAAGUUGAGUAUUGAAAAUUUGAAAUCGCCAUGUUUUUCAUAUUACUCGGUAUUCAUAAAAGUUAAUAGACAAGGCUAACUGGAUCCAACUCUCUGGAUUAAUUGGCAGAAAUAUUGCUUGACAAAACUAAUCAAGGGAUGGAAGAUACAUGCAGUGGUUAUUUUGAUAGUGUAUCAGUAUUAGAAUACUCCUUUCUGCAGAAGUGUCUAAACGUGAGAGCUUGAGGCGGCAUACAACUGAGCUUCAACAUGUUUCAGGGAUUCCUACUUCAACACUUGAAAUCAAGCGAGAAACAAGUGUUGGGAGAUUUUGCUCAUUAUUGUCGAAUGACAAUGUCCCAGAAGAUAGCAUUUUCAAGGUUUGCGUGGCUUACAGUUAUAUGGGGCUGAUAUUGAUGAGUUGUUGAUUUCUAUUGGCUAGUUGAUUGAUCGAAUUUUCAAGACAAAAAUCACAGCUCUCCGCAAGUCUUUUGGCAAGCUCUGUAACCCGUAGUUAUUGAGAAUGUACGCACAGUACUGAAAAUCUAAAGAAGUUCCCAGGGGAAGGGCAAAGCUUAAUCAGCUUGAGACAUCUUCAGUUUUGAUGAUGAUAUUUAGUGGAAGUUCCAGCUGCAGUAUUGGUGCAAAUGACCCAACUCUAGAAUUGACUUAUUUGGCUUGCGUGUACCGAUCGAAAGGAGAUGCAUAAUCUGGUACAUACAUGUAAUGGGGUCACUGUUUGACCACACCAAGUAUAUGACACCUCAAUCAAAGCA